GACGAACGCUGGCGGCGUGCCUAACACAUGCAAGUCGAGCGAUGAAACCCUUCGGGGUGGAUUAGCGGCGGACGGGUGAGUAACACGUGGGUAACCUACCUCAAAGAGGGGGAUAGCCUCCCGAAAGGGAGAUUAAUACCGCAUAACAUUAGUUUUUCGCAUGGAGAACUAAUUAAAGGAGUAAUCCGAUUUGAGAUGGACCCGCGGCGCAUUAGCUAGUUGGGGAGGUAAAGGCUCACCAAGGCGACGAUGCGUAGCCGACCGGAGAGGGUGAUCGGCCACAUUGGAACUGAGACACGGUCCAGACUCCUACGGGAGGCAGCAGUGGGGAAUAUUGCACAAUGGGCGAAAGCCUGAUGCAGCAACGCCGCGUGAGUGAUGAAGGCCUUCGGGUUGUAAAGCUCUGUCUUUUGGGACGAUAAUGACGGUACCAAAGGAGGAAGCCACGGCUAACUACGUGCCAGCCGCCGCCGUAAAAC
rnacentral:rRNA from 1 species